AGAGUUUGAUCCUGGCUCAGGAUGAACGCUGGCGGCGUGCUUAACACAUGCAAGUCGAACGAACCUUCGGGUUAGUGGCGGACGGGUGAGUAACGCGUGGGAACCUGCCCUCAGGAGGGGGAUGACGGUUGGAAACGGCCGCUAAUACCCCAUAUGCCGAGAGGUGAAACGAAUUUCGCCUGAGGAUGGGCCCGCGUCUGAUUAGCUAGUUGGUGGGGUAAGAGCCUACCAAGGCGACGAUCAGUAGCUGGUCUGAGAGGAUGAUCAGCCACACUGGGACUGAGACACGGCCCAGACUCCUACGGGAGGCAGCAGUGGGGAAUUUUCCGCAAUGGGCGAAAGCCUGACGGAGCAACGCCGCGUGAGGGAUGAAGGCCUCUGGGCUGUAAACCUCUUUUCUCAAGGAAGAGGACCUGACGGUACUUGAGGAAUAAGCCACGGCUAAUUCCGUGCCAGCAGCCGCGGUAAUACGGGAGUGGCAAGCGUUAUCCGGAAUUAUUGGGCGUAGAGCGUCCGCAGGUGGCCCUGUAAGUCUGUCGUUAAAGCGUGGAGCUUAACUCCAUUUAAGCGAUGGAAACUACAGGGCUAGAGUGUGGUAGGGGCAGAGGGAAUUCCCGGUGUAGCGGUGAAAUGCGUAGAUAUCGGGAAGAACACCAGUGGCGAAGGCGCUCUGCUGGGCCAUCACUGACACUCAUGGACGAAAGCCAGGGGAGCGAAAGGGAUUAGAUACCCCUGUAGUCCUGGCCGUAAACGAUGAACACUAGGUGUCGGGGGAAUCGACCCCCUCGGUGUCGUAGCCAACGCGUUAAGUGUUCCGCCUGGGGAGUACGCACGCAAGUGUGAAACUCAAAGGAAUUGACGGGGGCCCGCACAAGCGGUGGAGUAUGUGGUUUAAUUCGAUGCAACGCGAAGAACCUUACCAGGGUUUGACAUCCUGCGAAUCCCUUGGAAACGAGGGAGUGCCUUCGGGAGCGCAGAGACAGGUGGUGCAUGGCUGUCGUCAGCUCGUGUCGUGAGAUGUUGGGUUAAGUCCGCAACGAGCGCAACCCACGUCGUUAGUUGCCAUCAUUCAGUUGGGCACUCUAGCGAGACCGCCGGUGAUAAACCGGAGGAAGGUGUGGAUGACGUCAAGUCAUCAUGCCCCUUACAUCCUGGGCUACACACGUACUACAAUGCUACGGACAAAGGGCAGCGAUCCCGCGAGGGCUAGCAAAUCCCAUAAACCGUGGCUCAGUUCAGAUCGUAGGCUGCAACUCGCCUACGUGAAGGAGGAAUCGCUAGUAAUCGCAGGUCAGCAUACUGCGGUGAAUACGUUCCCGGGCCUUGCACACACCGCCCGUCACACCAUGGAAGUUGGCCACGCCCGAAGUCGUUACUCCAACCCUUGUGGAGGAGGACGCCGAAGGUGGGGCUGAUGACUGGGGUGAAGUCGUAACAAGGUA
rnacentral:rRNA from 1 species